rnacentral:rRNA from 1 species
GCAAGUCGAGCGCGAAAGCCUUCGGGUGAGUAGAGCGGCGGACGGGUGAGUAACGCGUAGGAAUCUACCUGGUAGUGGGGGACAACAGUUGGAAACGACUGCUAAUACCGAAUAUGUACUACUACCGCAUGGUAGUUUUAUAAAAGGAGCGUUUGCUUCGCUAGAGGAUGAGAGUGCGUCGCAUUAGUUAGUUGGUAGGGUAAAGGCCUACCAAGACGAUGAUGCGUAGCGGGGUCGAGAGGCUGAAC